AUACAGAGGGUGCAAGCGUUAAUCGGAAUUACUGGGCGUAAAGCGCGCGUAGGCGGCUUGAUUAGUCGGAUGUGAAAGCCCCGGGCUCAACCUGGGAAUUGCAUUCGAUACUGUCAGGCUAGAGUAUGGUAGAGGGUAGUAGAAUUCCUGGUGUAGCGGUGAAAUGCGUAGAUAUCAGGAGGAAUACCAGUGGCGAAGGCGGCUACCUGGACCAAUACUGUCGCUGAGGUGCGAAAGCGUGGGGAGCAAACAGGAUUAGAAACCCUAGUAGUCC
rnacentral:rRNA from 1 species